rnacentral:rRNA from 1 species
UACGUAGGGGGCAAGCGUUGUCCGGAAUCAUUGGGCGUAAAGAGCGUGUAGGCGGCCAGAUAAGUCCGCUGUGAAAUCUCGAGGCUCAACUUCGAGCUGUCGGUGGAAACUGUCUGGCUAGAGUCCGGAAGAGGAGAAUGGAAUUCCUGGUGUAGCGGUGAAAUGCGCAGAUAUCAGGAAGAACACCCGUGGCGAAGGCGGUUCUCUGGGACGGUACUGACGCUGAGACGCGAAAGCGGGGGGAGCGAACAGG